GGCGUUAUCGCCCGGGCCCUGGAUCAUCCCGCAGAUAUUCUCCAGCUCGAAGCUGCAUUGCUCCAGAAACGUUAACGUUGACGCUGCAGAGGCAUUUGCAAGUUACGUCAGCCGUCGAUGACUGAUGAACAUGGACCAUGGAUCCUUACCCAUAAGUGUUUAGCAAGAACGUUACCGCGCAGUCAGAGAAGGAAACCUGCAUUUAACUACAUGAACACGAUUGUGAAUUAAUUUGCAGUUACCAGGAUAUAGGACUGCUGACAUUGCUAUUUGUGGAGCGCGGCAGGAGACCUACAGCAGUUGUAGAGCCGGUUGAGCUUCAGAAGGUC